rnacentral:rRNA from 1 species
UACAGAGGGUGCAAGCGUUGUUCGGAAUUAUUGGGCGUAAAGCGCGUGUAGGCGGCUUUUUAAGUCGGGUGUGAAAUCCCUCAGCUUAACUGAGGAAGUGCGCCCGAAACUGGAAAGCUUGAGUACUGGAGAGGGUGGCGGAAUUCUGCAAGUAGAGGUGAAAUUCGUAGAUAUGCAGAGGAACACCGGUGGCGAAGGCGGCCACCUGGACAGUUACUGACGCUGAGACGCGAAAGCGUGGGGAGCAAACAGG